ACUUCUCACAAUUUCUUCAUUUUCCUCUCUUAUCUUCGUCUCUAACCUUAUCUUCCGCCUCCCUUGCAAAAGAAAACCCUAACUCACCGCAGAAUCUAUUUCUCGAUCACUCUCUAUGUAGAAAAACUUACGUAAGUUGUAGAUCGGUUCUUUCAAAUUGCAAUGGCGUCUUCGAAACUCAUUUUCUCUUCUUCUUAUUCUCUCUUCUUAUUUCUUCUUUUUCGUUCUUCUUCUCAGCUCUUCUUCAGUUGAAAAUCGAGAGGUGAAAUUGAGGUAUGGCUUGAGGAAAAUUAAAUCUUGAGGAUGUAUAAAAGAAGAAGGAGAAGAUUGAGUCCUGUUAUGAAUCGAGAACUAGGGUUUUCUUUGUGAAUCGUUGAGUUAGAAAUUGGGAAAUUAAAGAUGGGUUUAGUGAAUACAAUAUGAUGAGGAAGAAUUAGUGAUUGAUUUGUGAGUUUUAAUGAAGAGUAAAAAACCUAGGGUUUCUGUUCUUCCCCAAAUAGAUAUGAAAUUAAAAAUUAAGGUUUUAGGGGAAGAAUUAGAGAUGGGUAUGUUUGAUUUGAAAAUUUUAUUCAUGUUGUGAAGCUGUUAAGAAAUAAAUUGAAGAAGGUGAUGUUGAUGUUGAAUCGAAUUAGAGGCCGUGGUAGUGGUGGUAGAGGCAGAGGAGGCGGCAGAGGAGGAAGUCGUGGUGGUGGUAGUUAGCUAAGGAAUUCUGCAUUGAACUUGUUGCCGCAUUGCCACUUCCACAGGAAAAAGCAAAGGUAGCGCUAAGCUAAAGGAAGAACAUAUCUGAGAAGAGAUGCGCACAACAGUGAGAGACAUACUGAACGAAAUGGAUGUUAAUACUUUGAUUGGUUCUUGCAAUGGCAUUUUUUGUUUCUUUUAAGCAGUGGAUACAUCCUACCAUUUACCCCGAUGAAGUGGUCUUCUAAUUUGUAUUUAUGAUUUGCUAGAAUUCAUUUUGUUUUUAUUAGUAGUAAUUUGGAAUUUGCUGCACAUAUCUAAUCUGUGCUUUUCGAUGUUGUUGGCUUCAGGCAGUUGGAGCACAUUGUUCUUGUGCAUGAUAGAGAAAUAAAAGAGGUAUAGCUUUUGUAACAUAUAGACCUGUAAAUGUCCUGUCUUGGUUCUCCUUUUAAUCCCCAAAGGUAUUUUUGAAGUUCGUAAAAAAAAUUGUCCGCGAGGGCCUUCUUAUGUGCAGAAGGAGGAAUUUGUCAAAGCUUAGUUUCUCUUAGGAUGUUUAUCAGGAUUCUUAGGAUUUUAUCUCGCUAACAUGGCUUAGGUUCUCUAUUAGUAGGAUAUACUUGGAUCUAACUUUUGUUGGGAAAACGAAUCUACAUAAAAACAAGAAUGAAAUACUUGCACCAAUAUGCUUGUUCCCUCUUUAACUCUACUAAUAUAAGAUCUGAACCCUCCCUCCCUUGCAUGUUUUACAUUAGUGUUUCGAUACAUAGAGAUGUUUCAAAUUAGUUAGGCUCUAAUUUUGUAAAACAUUGAAAGCAUUUUGUUUAACACACAGAUUUUUGGGCUAUUACAAAAAGGUUUUAAAGAACUUCAUGGGCAGGUAGAUAGAGCUAGUCAUUCUAUCAUAACUAAAGACACUAAUUUAUACAUUAGUGUUUAACCUAUAAUCAGUUCCAUUUAACCGUAUUACUUAAUUCAUGAGCAUGCAUUAUAUGAACUUUGUUAUAACUUUGAUUAGUGCUCUUUAUACUCUCCAGUUCAACAAUUAACAAUUUUUUUUCUGUACUUUAAACUGGAAAAAUGGAUUGAGAUCUUUUAAUUAUUGAAGUAGGUGUACUGUACAUUGCAAUGCGAGAAGGUGAGGCAAUUUGCAGUACUUAAUCCAAAAUUCAACAAGUUAACUUUUUGGUGUUCCUGUGAACCAAGGGUCAACAUUUUUCUGAGAAAUUGUAAGCAGAUCAAGAAGAUAAAAAUCAGUCAGCAUUCCUAAUACUUCUGUGAAUUAUGUGUGGAAAGUAUGCCGUGAAGAGGAAGGCCAUCUGAAUCUGGGGAUGCAAAGACUGUGGCAAAGUGAAAGCUGGUGGUGCCUACACAUUGGAUGCAUGGCUUUUCACAAAAUCUCAAGGAUAUGGUGCAGCAGGAACAAGUAACAACUUUUGUAACAAACAUCUAUAUUACUGUCAUUUUCUGAAUGUGUGCGUCUAAGACUGGCAGGUUAACUUGAAUGAAUGUAAAAGUAUGUUUUUCCCGUAGUGUUUAUGCAGAAAGUUCUAAUGAUCUUUAGUA